rnacentral:tRNA from 1 species
GCCAGCGUAGUGUAGUGGUUUGAGUGUUGGACUAUGACUCUGGAAACCAGGAUUCAAAUCCCUGCUCAGCCA